rnacentral:rRNA from 1 species
AUUGAACGCUGGCGGCAUGCCUUACACAUGCAAGUCGAACGGCGGCACGGGAGCAAUCCUGGUGGCGAGUGGCGAACGGGUGAGUAAUAUAUCGGAACGUGCCCAGUCGUGGGGGAUAACGCAGCGAAAGCUGUGCUAAUACCGCAUACGAUCUAAGGAUGAAAGCGGGGGAUCGCAAGACCUCGCGCGAUUGGAGCGGCCGAUAUCAGAUUAGCUAGUUGGUGGGGUAAAGGCCCACCAAGGCGACGAUCUGUAGCUGGUCUGAGAGGACGACCAGCCACACUGGAAAUGAGACACGGUCCAGACUCGUACGGGAGGCAGCAGUGGGGAAUUUUGGACAAUGGGCGCAAGCCUGAUCCAGCAAUGCCGCGUGCAGGAUGAAGGCCUUCGGGUUGUAAACUGCUUUUGUACGGAACGAAACGGCCCUUUCUAAUACAGGGGGCUAAUGACGGUACCGUAAGAAUAAGCACCGGCUAACUACGUGCCAGCCGCCGCCGUAA